rnacentral:tRNA from 1 species
GUCCCUGUAGCGCAAUGGAUAGAGCUAAUCCAAAGGUCGUGGGUUCGAAUCCCACCUGGGAUG